UACAGAGGGGCAAGCGUUGUUCGGAAUUACUGGGCGUAAAGGGCGCGUAGGCGGCCCGCUAAGUCGAACGUGAAAUCCCCGAGCUCAACUCGGGAACUGCGUCCGAUACUGGCGGGCUUGAAUCCGGGAGAGGGAUGCGGAAUUCCAGGUGGUAGCGGUGAAAUGCGUAGAUAUCUGGAGGAACACCGGUGGCGAAGGCGGCAUCCUGGACCAACACUGACGCUGAGGAGCGAAAGCCAGGGGAGCAAACGGG
rnacentral:rRNA from 1 species